CCGCCCGCGUGGCUCCGGGGCUCGAAGUCGCGGUAAACACCUCGAGUGCCGCUAUCGCGCCUGGCCCCGGCCCCCACGGUGGGUCCCGCCGCUUCUCUUCCUUUUGUCUUCACAAAAUAAACGGCCCAAAACUUCGAGUGAGUUGCGGUAGUUUAGCGAAAAACGGAGUGGAGCUGCAGCCCGGGGGGAAUGCUCCACCCUGCCAGGCGGGAGACUUGGGUUUCACUCAGGGCUGGCAGUGCGCUGGAUCGCCGUGGAGGCGGCUGGAAAGGAAGGGGAAUACUUUUGUCACAUAAAAAACAAGCCCCGUACUGCUCUGGAAGCGGUGUGGAAAGUCUCGUUCUUUAAAGGACUCCUCUUUUCUUCUCGGAUAGAAAGGUAGUUGAAGAGAGUAGAGGAAAGGGGACUCAACACGCUCUGAGUUUGGGGCUGCGGUUUUAUUCCUCUCUCUUUUUCAGGAUUUUUUGUAACUCAGUUUCUCAAGUUUACCCUGUUUCAGCUGAUACAGGAGUGCCGGUUCCUCUUGACACGUAGGCGUUGGUAAACGGGUAGCAUGGCUUGGAUGCUGCUUAAUAUUUGGAUGUUUACUGCCAGGUUGUCAUUUGCUUGUAUUAUUUCCCUCGCACUUGAGUAUCGCAAGGUACAGCAUGCACUGCAAAACUAUCCGGGGUUGCAACAGUGCGGUGUUCCGUAGGCAUUUAAUUACACUAAACAAACAUUCCUUUAAUUAAAGGUGUUUGUUUAACAUUCCUCAUUACAGCUCUUGGAAAAACCCACAGAGCAGCCGUGAGCAGGGGGAUGCGGGCUUCUUGUUUUUACCGAAUUACAAGUUAAGCUUUCAUGGCGAGCGGGGGAGAGGCGUUGGGACCAUAUGGCCAUGGGGAAAACCGGCCAAACACGAGCGGUUGCAGAGAUUUUCCUAGGUAGCAGCAGCACAGCGAGUUGACAAGAUUGUGGAGAGAUUUUUGGAUGGCUGGCCAGAAAACCUGAGGAGUAACAAGUAGCAUUAGUUGCACUCUGCUGCUGUUUUGAGGUAGCAGGGAACCCAGCAGGCACCCACUGCGAGGGUUGGAUGCAGGUAAUGAAGAUGUGGGUUGGUGCUGCGUGGGAAGCUCAGAGAAGUAAUAGAAGCCACUUCUUCCUAGUAGCCAGAAAGUUUUGUGUGGAAUAAGAUCACAGACUUAACAGAUGCUUCAGCUCUGCUUGUACAAGUCUUUCCCUUCAUCAGAUACAACCACUGUUGUCACUGGCACAGGAAUUAGCAGCGAUUACAUUGAGAGUGCUCAGGCCAAACAGGGAUUUGGGUUUUUAGAUGCUUUCUUGCUUGAAUGUGAGUGGCUGCUUCUUUCACAGAUUUCUGUUCUUGCUGGUGGUGGAGAGCCCUGGAAAUCCAGGAUGGACAAAGCCGCAGUAGCUAUUUACCUGCUGGAUGGAAAUAGAAUAGCUGUUCAGAACUGAGAUAGUGAAAGUUUCCUGAUAAAAGCCCGGUGUCCUUUCUCUUAGUUGUUACAGCUGGGCCUCUUACUAGAGUUGUUCUGGCUGUCACACACAUGUAGAGUGAAAAGCCAUGUGUUCAUUUUUCACUUUGGCCAGUGGUUCUCCAGCCGCUGGGUUAUUCUGCCCUGCCUUAGCUUGGGAAUGGUAGACACCAUCACCCAAAGAGUUCUGCUGCGGACACAGCAUGUGGGCACAAAAGCUGACAUAAUUUGCAUGAAGACCAUUUAUAUCCUCAAAUUUGUCUGGUAAUUUUUUCUUUGUGCAUGCAGUGUCACUGCAAAACUCCAGAAUUCACUGGCUGUGGCCUUUUCUCCCCCAUAUUAGACCUCUUUCAUUGGAUGAAGACCUUAGUAGCCUUAUUUUUAUUUUUAGUGUGCUGAAAGUAAAAUGUGAAGCAUUUAAGACCAGGAAGAGUCAAGAAAACCUGUAGUCUGAUCUGUGUGUCACAAGUUACUGUGCUUCAUUCAUGUGCAUCCAGCAACUUGUUACACCAAAGUCUGACCUGUAUUUAGCCAAGGAUCCUUUCCUGGAAGGCACCUGUGACUUUCAUUUGAAGGUCUCAAAACGUGGUUAAACCACCAAAAUGCCUCCAGAAGUUUAAAGUUGGUGUAACUUGGAGAGCCUAGAUAAAAAGGCUCAUCUUUCUGCUACAGAGCAUAAAUUGGGUGUUAUAAUUUUGUUCCCACUAAUUGUUUCUUUUAAACAUAUCAUUACUAUGUUGCCUGAGAACUGUAAAGGUGCCAGAUAAAAGAUAACUGUGACUUUCUAGAGUCAACCUUUGUGGCUAGCAAGUUACUUUAAAGGACUGCAUAAGGUCUCUCUCUAGGACUUUUACUCCCUAGAUCUGAUCUAAAGUUCUUUGAAGUUGAGAUGGGGCUUUAGCACAAACUCAGUUUUCUUAUUUUUUUCCUGUCAAGCUGUAUUCCUUGUCUUUUGAGGAGCGUUCUUACCUAAGACCAUGUAAUGUUCCUUAACUAAUUUUCAGUUAGCAGUUGAGAAGCAUAACUUGCUAAAAUUUGAUGUCUGUUUCUCAUUUGUGGACAUGGAUGCUGAAUCAGCAGAGAGCUGCUGGCUGAGCAGUGGAGAACAGGGGCAUCCAGGAGCUCUGACAGCUCAUGUUGGGGGCUUUGGAGCAUCUUCUCUUCCCCUCAUUCAGAUCUAGCCCAAGUGCCAUGAAACUUGUUCCUGUACAUUGUCCAGGAGUCUGUUUAAAAUGAGCUUCAGCCAUCGGGAUGUGUCUGAAGAUGAGUAUCUGCAUCAUUGAAAUCAUUUUCCCAACUGGCAUGUCUGAAAGGCAGGUGAUUGGAAGGGCUGUGAGAGGAGGAUAAAUUAUACCUUUAGUCCUUCAUAGCCUGAAUAAUGGAGCUUAAUUACAUUUUCCCUGGCAGUACAUGGAAUUCCCAUAGCUGUUCUAAUUUAUGAGCAAGGCUAUGCUUGCAAUGCAAACUGAUCCAUACUCACUGUUGAGAUGGACAGUUGUUACCUGGCCCCAAGUUCUUCACUGUUUUUUCAGUGUUUGUGUAAACUGAGGGACCCAAUUCUCUGUGGCUUCCUAUUGGGUAUAUUUAGGUAAAAGUUGUAACCUGUCGGCAGCUCUGUGGUCAGUGCAGUAGCUGAACACAUAAACUUCUUGGGCAUUGUGUGGGGAAUUUAUACUUGUUCUGUAGGAUUUUCUGCAGCAUGCCAAUGCUGUCAUUUUAGGAAUCCAGGCUUUUUGGUAGAUCUGACCCACAAUGGCAAAAUUAGGGGGAAGAGUUCUUGGGAACCCGCACCAGGGUGGGAUAUGGAGAGAGACGGCGAUGGGGGAUUUGCUUUCUGAUCCUCUUGUGCUUGCUUUUUGGAUAACUGGGCGUUGUUUGCUUGAGGUUUUCCAGUCUCAUUUUCUAUUAGCACUAAAUUCUCCACUCAUUUAUUACACUUUUGUCUGGCCUGUUCUUGGUUUCCAGUCGCUAAGCAUGUAAGCGCUAUGUUUUUGCCUGCUCAGCAGUGGAAAUGCUGGGUUUUGAAAACCACCUACUAAUUUUAGGAGCCGAAAGGCUCCUGAAUUCUGAACCUUGUGGUAUGUCUGUUUUAAAGACAGAGAAGUUAGGAAAAGAACUUCACUAGUUCUUUGCUUGAGGACUUUUUUUACUUCUUUUGUUUUAAAACAUCUCAGAAAACUUUGAGUGUGAGGAAAUGAUGGCAUGGAGCUGUAGUAAAUACCUGUUUUUUCUUGUUAGCAGACUUACAAACAACAUAAUUGGUUAGUGUAGUAUUGCAACUUAACCUUGUUCACGGUCACAUCUGAAUAGUAUCUAAGUGGGGCCUCAAAAAAAAAAAAAGUCUGGUGGCAGACAAGCUUGAAUUAAAGCAUGGCCAUGUAAAAAGAAAUACUUACUAGGGAAAUAAAAUGCAUAUGGAGACUUGGAGUUUGACUAUCAGAGUGAGAAUACCCAAGUCAAAUACCUUCAGUUUUCAUAUCAGAUGCUUUUCUAGCACAUUAUUUCAGAACACCUCUGCAUCAUUCAGGAUUGCUUACACUGUGGCCUGUGCUGCAUUCACCACACAAAUCAGUCACCGCUGAAGAUGGAGUUACUUGGGUUCCUUGUGGACUUGUGAGCUUGGUGCCUCCAGGAUUUGGAUGCUUCACAAAGUGUGCUAGUCCACUGGGCAAGUGGCGGGUGAUUCUCCUCUCUUUGAAAAAGAGGAUCAGAAAUAAUUAAAAACUUUGGAUUGACAAACUCACCUGCAUGGAGCUUUAAUUUUCCAAGAUACUUGGUGUUUAAUACAUAUAGAGGAUAGCUCUCUCUGGCCUCAGUUGCCACCAGUGGUGUUGACCUAUGUGAAUAAAUUGGACAUCCAAAAAGUGCAAGCCAGGCUUAUUGAAAAAAAACCCAAACCAGAAGGGUUGAAAUUACUUGUCCUGGCGUUGACAGCACUGGGAGGAUGUUCUCCAAGCAAUGUUCAUUGCUGUGAGAUCCUGCUUUUUGUCCCCCACCUCUCAUUCACUUCACAUCCUCCAAAUGCUUGGCCAAAUGAGCAGGGAUCUUGUCUUGUGCUGCUCAGAUCCAGGCCUGGACAGAUCCAGAGGUUGUGCUGAGUAAGGGAAAUCUUGACAGGAGGGCUGGAAGAAUAUACUAUGAAAUAUAUAUUAUAUAUGUAUAUAUACAUAACAUAUGAUAGGUACAUAAACAGCAGCACAAUUACUCCUGCAUUAAUCAGCAUUUCUUGUGUAUACACUUAACUUUGAAACCUUGAAUUUUCUGUAAAAAGACCUGUUUUCCUUCUAAUACCUGCUUUUUUUUUUCCUAAAGCAAACUUCAGAAAUAGUUUGCAAUACUGAUCCACCCACAUGAAUGAUAAAUGCAGAUUGCUGCCAUUUUAGCAAUUAAAGUAACAAAUAAUGAUAAAUUACCAUUUUCUGAGAGCUUGUUCUUGUUGGGAAGGAGUUUGUCAGCAAGCCUGUCAUGUUUGUUGGUGGCAAAGGGAUGGCAGGAUUGGGAAUUUGGGGUGCAGUUCCUGCUCUGAAGGCGUGAAUGCUGUAAUUGUUUUCCACCCAUUCCCCAGAAACAGCUUGUCUGUGUUUUUUACCCCUUGUGCCCUAGGCCCUGCAGCCUGGCUCUUCCCAGCUCCUUGCCCAAGUGACUUCUUCCCUCCACUGUUUAGACCCUCACUGCACCCAUUUUUAAUUCCCACUGCUGCUUCCUAAUCCUAGUCCCCCUCCUCUUGGCUCAGCACUCCGCUCCUAGCCUGCCUCUCCUUUCUCUCCAGAUUUCCAGAGCAUUUCCGUCACGUCCUUCUUACAUUUCCCAAUCUCCCUGUGUUUUCACUACAUCCCCUCCUGGCUCUGGCUCUCCCUCAGUCAGAACUGUCCAUCUUCUCCAUCAGCUACCAGAAGGGAAGCUGAGACCCCAUGGCAAGUGGUGGUGUGGAGCAGUCCCCAGGAGGCUCUACUAUCAGCUGUGACUUCGUGGAGGUGGCACAUAGAAUCAUGGAAUGCUUUGGGUUGGAAGGGAUCUUUAAAUGCCAUCCACUCCAACCCCCUUGCAAUAAACAGAGACGUCUUCAACAAAGUCAGGUUGCUAAGAGCCCUGUCCGACCUGGCCUUGAGUGUUUCCAGGAAUGGGGCAUCCACCACCUCUCUGGGCAACCUGUGCCAGUGUCUCAACAUCCUCAUAAUAAAAAAUUUCUUCCCUCUAUCUGAAUCAAUUCUUUUGUAGUUUAAAAGCAUGGCAGAGCUCUGUGCAAAAGGGGAUUUCACUGCGGAGGGCUCAGGCACCUAUAUACUAAGCAGCUGCAAGAGGAUGAAAUGUUCUCAGCGAGGCUAUAAUCUGAAGUUUUAAUAACUACUAACAAAAAUUUUAAGUGUGAAUAAACUGAUAAUUUGUAUCUUCUCCCCCUCAAGCAUAUAGCUUGGCCAAAUUCAGGCAGAUUUUUAUAUUGUGACAACAUAUCUAAAACAUAAUGCUUUCUCCCACAUAAAGUGUCUCUUCAAAGAUUUUGGAAGAGAAGCUUUUAUUUUUAAUUUCUAAAUGAAAAAACCAAUAAUCUGCAUAUAUGAAAGCUUUUUCUUAGCCUCAUUUUUGGAACCAUUUUGGCUGAGCUUUUCUAUGGAGGAAGGAAAAAAAGUAAUCAGUCCAAGGUUUCAGAAGGAAAGUUUUGCUGUUGCUGGUUGAAAUGUGUUGAAGUUGUAAAUAGCCCAACACAGGCUCUCGUAGUGGCAAGUUACAUCCAGCAGGUUAAUACAGCAGCCAGAGGGAGGAUGCCAGGAGUUUCAUUAACAUAAAUAACCUCAAACACUCUGUUUAAUACCUACAUGUAGUACUACUGUGACAGAGGCCAAGUACAUAUCAAAUCCAAAACCUUGACAUCCUACUCAAGCAACCUCAUGCUCCACCCUUUUUUCCCUGAGUGGUAGCACUGGCAGUGGGUCAUUGUUGCAAGUCAGGAUCCAUGUGCUGAAAGCUUUGCAGGACAUCAUCUGUCAAAAGGAGAAAUAUCUUUUACCAGAUUCAAAGAAGAAGACCUGGAAAAGGCGAGUUUUUGUGCUGUCACUCAUUGUUCCCGCCAUCUGGAAACAACCCCGUGUGCAGGUGCCUGCAGACAGUUUGUGACCACCUGUUUUGUACAGGCUUGCUGCUUGUACUGCUGUUUUGCUAUUGGAGGACACAAUGGAGUAUAUCUAGUGUAAAAAACCCACAAUUAAAGAAAACAUUUGCAACUUGCCACUUUAUGAGGAUGGGGAAGUUAACAUGAGCUGUCCUGAGCCUUUUCUUGUUGUGUUGGCAGCUCACACCAAGAGGCCAGUCGUGCCUUUGAUGGCAUCAUCUCAUUUUCUCAUUGGUUUUCACUCUUAGAAUGUGAAAGUUGAAAUUAAUUCUUUAUCAUUAUGCAGCUGCUAUUCUUAGUACAAUAGACUGAGUUACAUUUAAGCAUCUAAUGAAUUGCCUCAAAUCCAAAACACGUUACCACUUGAAAGAAUAUGAAGUGCACUUUUAUUAUUACUUGAUGUCGAGAGCUUUGCUGUUUUUCACAGAAACAUCUGAAAUCACCCAGUGGCAUAAACAAUAAUCAGUUUCUGUAGAAAAGAUGUGAAGUUGUUUCAGAGAUUCUCCUACUAAAGCCACUGCCUUGCAAGUUAGUAAAAAGACAUUAAGCGAAUUCCAUGCAACGAGUUGCAUUUCUGCAGUGGACACCACUGGGCGAAACCAGUCUGAGAAUUAUUAUGGCAGGGUGCUCACCUGGAGUUCUGGGUGUGAAGGGUUGGGUUGAGAGGAGAGGAGCAUCUGCCAUUCAGAUGCCUGUCAUCAGUGUAGUUCAACCCAAAUCUCAACGUUCCUCUUGCCAGACAAGAUCUUGUGGUGGUGGUGAUCCACAGGAACUGCUGUGUGAGUUGGCAGUAGGGAAUAUUGCUGGGUGGGGUGAGCAUGUUCUUUUCUCGAGAGCUUGCGAGCCUUUCUGCUGUGGCAGUCCUUUGUGGAAUGAAGAACGGGGACUUAAUGUUAGGUUUGCUACUUAACAAGCCAGGCAACGCCUAUGACUUGCGAAUUCAACACUAAUUGUGGAAUUCAAUUUCUCUACCCACGUUUCCCCCUAGGAGAUGUAAGCUGUUAGGAAAAUAAGAAAAGUGGGGCAUUUUUGUGUGUAUUGUGUUCAAAUUUUGGACAGUUGAAAGAGUGGUUGCAAAUCAAUCCAUGCAUUUCACUGAGUCAUAAAAUGCCCUUUAGUAUAUGUUAUUUGCUAGCCUGUACUUUAGUUGUACAAACCUCUUACAAUUAUUUGCAUUGUUUUCAGUAACCUUUCAAAAUGUUAAGAAUCCUCCUUACUGCUUUAUGUUUUUCAUUUCAGUCAGGGUGCUCUCUAUACCCUCUUCUGGUUUCUCACCCCCUCAGCCUGUGCAGUUAGAACAGAUUAUGUGUAUCAGUAAAGGCUGUCCAAAGUGAGUCAUGACUAGGUUUGGAUCUGGCCACAUUUGUUGAAGUUUAUCUUUAAUCAAACGCACACCUCCUGUAUGCAGUGCAUUUCUUCUGGAUUUUUUUUUAACAUAAACCAUGAUAUUUUCUUCCUCUUUUCUCUUGAGGACGAGUUAGUCCUUUCACAUAGAGCAACCCUCAGCACUGGCAGACCUUUCUCUCUGGUCUUUGCUGAGGCUUCAUUUCACCAUGGCUCCACCUCUGGCUUGCUGGUUCUCUCAGUUCUCCAUUGCCGAGCUUUUCUUUGUCCGGUUUCCCAGCUACGUGUUUUGGUUACAUUUCAGUGCUCUGAACGAGUGGUUUUGAGAGCAGUUGGAGGCACGGCGUGCACCACUUCCUGCCUCUGCAGUCCCUGUGGCUGUCACGCAGCUUGCCUGGUCACCAUCUGCAGCGGGCUCGAACGUGGGACGUGCCACCACAGCCGGGCUGCCCUCUGCUUCUGAGAAGGUGUUUGAGUUUGCAGUUCCUGGUUUGCAGGACGCCUUGCAGAGAAAGUUGAGAUGAUCCCUCAGCUGCCAUGAAGAGCGAAAUGUGGAGUAGCUUGUGGCUGUAAUCGAAGUACAAGAUGGCAAAAACCAGCCAUAGCAACUAUGUCCUUCAGCAGCUAAACAAGCAAAGAGAGUGGGGCUUUCUGUGCGACUGCUGCAUCGCUAUCGAUGAUAUUUAUUUUCAAGCACAUAAAGCAGUCCUUGCUGCCUGCAGCGCCUAUUUUAGGAUGUUUUUUAUGAACCAUCAAAACACUACAUCCCAGCUGAAUCUAAGCAACAUGAAGAUUAGCGCUGAAUGCUUUGAUCUUAUUUUACAGUUCAUGUAUUUAGGAAAAAUUAUGACAGCCCCUGCCAAUUUUGAGCAAUUUAAAGUGGCCAUGAACUAUUUACAGCUAUAUAAUGUACCUGAGUGUCUAGAAGAUAUACAGGAUACAGACUCAUCUAGUUUAAAAUGUUCAUCUCCUGCUUCUAGCACCCAGACUAGUAAAAUGAUAUUUGGUGUGAGAAUGUAUGAAGACGCACUUGCUAGAAAUGGCAGUGAAGCAAACAGGUGGGGCAUGGAGCCGCCAAGUUCAACGGUAAAUACAUCCCAUAACAAAGAGCCUGACGAAGAAGCUUUGCAGCUCAACAGCUUCCCUGAGCAACUGUUUGAUGUCUGCAAAAAAAGCACCACGUCCAAAUUCUCUCACACGAAAGAGCGCGUGUCACACUCGCGCCGGUUUGGAAGGAGCUUCACCUGCGACAGCUGCGGGUUUAGUUUUAGCUGUGAAAAGCUACUGGAUGAGCAUGUGUUAACAUGCACCAACAGGCAUUCCUACCAAAGUGCCAGGUACUACAGUGCUGAGAAAAUGGACUUUAGUGAAAAGAACUCUACUUCUAAAAUGAUCUCCACACAAACAGAAAAAUACAAGGGGGACUCAAGCCAUGCUGUGGACGAUUCUUCAUCUCCCGUGUCAAACAUCACGAGCAGGAAAAGCAGCACAGUUGCCUCUGAGACAUCAGGUGAAGAAGGAAGUAGAGCCUCUGAGAGGAAGAGGAUUAUCAUCAAGGUGGAGCCAGAGGACAAUCCUACAGAUGAGCUGAAGGAUUUUAAUAUUAUUAAGGUGGCAGAUAAAGACUGCAAUGAGUCUUCUGACAAUGAUGACCUGGAUGAUGAACAGGAAGAGCCGCUUUACAGAUACUACGUCGAGGAAGAGAUGAGAGAGAAGAGAAAUGCUCGGAAGACUCUAAAACCUCGUUUAUCCAUGGAUGAGGAUGAAAGAAAGUGUUUGAAAAGUCCACGGCACCUUAACAGCAAGGCUUCUUCAGUGCAGGAAGAUGUGGAGAAUGCUCCCUGUGAACUUUGUGGGCUAACAAUCACUGAGGAAGAUUUGUCCUCUCAUUAUUUAUCCAAACACAUAGAAAAUAUAUGUGCUUGUGGCAAGUGUGGUCAAAUACUGGUCAAAGGCAAGCAGCUACAGGAUCAUGCCCAGACCUGUGGAGAACCCCAGGAUCUGACCAUGAACGGGAUCAGAAAUUCUGAGGAGAAAAUGGACUUGGAAGAGAACCCCGAGGAGCAGUCAGAAAUAAGGGACAUGAUGUUUGCCGAGAUGCUAGAAGACUUCAGGGACAGUCACUUCCAAAUGAACAGCCUUCAGAAAAACCAGUUAUACAAGCAUUCUGCCUGUCCUUUCCGAUGCCCUAAUUGCGGCCAGCGUUUUGAUACUGAAAACCUAGUGGUUGAACAUAUGUCAAACUGCCUGGAGCAAGAUCUGUUCAAGAACUCCAUGUUGGAAGAGAAUGAGAGGGAUCACAGACGUAAGCAUUUCUGCAACCUUUGCGGGAAAGGAUUUUAUCAGCGUUGCCACUUGCGGGAACACUAUACCGUUCAUACCAAGGAAAAACAGUUUGUUUGUCAGACAUGUGGGAAGCAGUUCUUAAGAGAGCGCCAGUUGCGGCUCCACAAUGAUAUGCACAAAGGCAUGGCCAGGUAUGUCUGUUCCAUUUGUGAUCAAGGAAACUUCCGAAAACAUGACCAUGUACGGCAUAUGAUAUCUCACUUAUCAGCUGGAGAGACUAUAUGCCAGGUCUGCUUUCAGAUAUUCCCAAAUAAUGAGCAACUGGAGCAGCACAGGGAUGUUCAUCUGUAUACAUGUGGAGUAUGUGGAGCAAAAUUUAAUUUGAGGAAAGAUAUGAGAUCUCACUAUAAUGCCAAGCAUUUGAAAAGAACAUAAGCAUAAACAUACUGUUAAAGCAUUAAGUUGGCAGCAGAGAGAACACCAAAGCAAAGCAUAAGUAUAGUAAAAAAUUUGAAAAGGAAAAAAAAAAUUUGAAAAUAAGUCUCUUUUUUAUUAUUUUUUUAAGACCCUCCUAACCAUAGGUGUCUAUCUAGGCUCAUUAAGUAUAAAGCUUUGAAAAGCAUAAUGUGUUUAAUUAUUACAUUUUCACUGUUUCCUAAUACCAGUUUCUGUUCUUAAUUUUAUUGUUUUACUACGUAGAUAUACAAAUCAUUAUUUUUAAACUGUAGAUUAAAAGCACAAUGUUACCCCUUCACUGACUGCUAUUAAACAGUUCUCGGAUCCAUGUCCGUAAGAUGAGUGCUUUAAUAUUUCCAUGUGUUGUUUCUUCAUGUGAAAAUUUUAGAUCCCAGCGAUUAAUGUGCAAGAACAUAAUUGUUCAUAAUCCCCAAAUUAAUUUUUGAAAUGAAAAAAAAAAAAAAGAAAAAAAACAAACCCCAAACCAGCAAUGCCAAGAAAUAAUCCUUUGGUCCUCUGACUCUGCUGCAGGGGCAGAGCUGGCUGUCCUGGUUCCCUGCUUCUUGGCUUUGUUGGAAGGUGCAUCCCAGGGGUGUGAGCACAUAGGCUCAGUUAAACCUCACAGGCUCGGGCUGGUAUGCACAAGGGGGAAGGGACUUAAUGACUGUCGGGAUAACUGAGGGGUUCCAGCACAGUGGUCAUUUUCCAGAUGGGAAGUCCUAGCAGAACUGUACAACUGAUGUUGGCCUUUCUUUCACUGUCUGUACCUCUGUGGGUAUAUUUAACUUGCUUAUCCUAACAUACAAGGGAGGAGUGGCUGUGGUGGGUUGCUAGGAAUGCAGCAUGGCCAUGUGCACUGAAGACUGCAUUUUCAGCCUAGCUGGGAACUGUGCCUUGCUGCUUGUGUUGGCAAGUUAAAAGCAGGAUGGGUGUGAAGAUAGUCCCAUUGCUUGGGACCUUAGGGUUUUUUUGUUUCUUGUUUUCAUGACACUUUAUGAAUGUUCUGUUUUUCAACAAGAAUAUAACAAGAAAAGACUGCAGAGUUUGCUUAAUAAAUGUAAAGAUACUUUAUGCCUUUUAAGAUUCCUUUCUGAUUCUAGCAGAGCCCUAAUCUAUGCAGCUUGUCUCUUAAUUGAAUUUAAAAAUCUUACUAAGUACCAGCUGACACCAAUUCAGUGAGGCACUUUGGCCUUUGAGAGAGCAACUGGCUUUGACUCUUAGGCACCAGCUGUCUAAACCUUUGUUAAGUGUGUGAUUUGUGAUGGGGUGGAGGAAAGGAUCCUAAUACGUAAUCGUGGAAAAAACAAAAAAUAAAACCUAGUUGUACUUUCUCCCAGCAGAUCUCACUUUAUCAAAGAGGGUGGUAAAUGCUAUUUCCCACUGAGCUAUGGAGGGAGGAAAGUAAUUUAGAUCAGCAAUUAAGGCAGUUGGAUUAGAUGAUCAUUGCAGGUCCCUUCCAACUGAAAUAUUCUAUCACCUCAUGUGCCAGUGGUGGGGUUGAGAAUAUGAGCCAGGAGCUGACGGUCUAGUCCAGGGCUUUCACGUGCUUGUUUCUGUCAGAGUUGAGUUUCAUUCCUUGUUUCUUGGGGAUUAUGAGGGGUAUCAAGUUUUAAUUUUAGACUAUUCAGAGACGUGAAUACAGUUCAGAAUCCCCACUUUAACUGUUAAAAUUAGUGUGAGUUGCCUUGCAUUUAUUCAGUUUUAAAUGUGCAUUAGGAUUUCUCUUGGUCGGCAGACAUGUGCAUUUCUGCAGUGAUGGAGAAGGCUCCCCCACCAGCCCUUGGUCCUGAGCCAUCAGCUGCUCCAAGGCACCAACUGCUUUGGGUGCAGUUUAGUGGGCUUUUAGUGUUUUGCUUACCUGCUCAGUCCUUUGUUUUCCUGUAUGAUGCUGAAGCCAACCGAGUCCUCAAUAGCACUGGGGCCAAAAGUGCACAGGCACGCAUACACUCCAGCACUCCAGAGCUGGGGGGUUCAUACACUGCACACAGUGACUCUCUGACAUGCAGGUUAUCUCUCACAGUAUCAGCUGGAUUGGGAAAAGCAGUCAAGGGAAGUGAAGGAGAACUGGAAAGCACUGGGGCAACUGGCAGGAGGGUCUUGUGGCAUUGGAGGAGUGGGAAGACUGAGUGGGAGAAGAGAUCCUGAGUGUGAGGGAGUGGCAAAGGCAGGCAGGCAGGAUUAGAGCAAUGCAGUGGGAAGCAAAUCCCAAAGGUGGCGUGGAGCGGGUGGCUGGAGGAGUGGAUAAAAUGUCCCGCCUGUGAGACCAGGGUGAGGAUGACUCAGCUUGGCUGGGGAGCUGUGGGCCUGAGCCAUGAGCUCACAAACGCGGGUUGCGUACCAAGCACGGCCGGCCCCGCUGCCCACAGCUCUGCAGGGGCACAGCACAGCCCAGAUUAAAGACCUUGUCGAAAAGCAGGAGGUGACCUCUGCAAUGUAAGGGAUCAGUCCUGAAUUCAGUGAAGGGCUAGGGGUGAUUUAUGGAGCCACCUGCUCAGGAUCAGGAGCCCUUGUUUACAGCCUAUUGGUCUGAACUUGACCUAAACAUGCUUCUUAAAAAAUUUGACUUUCUAGUGUAAGUAGACCUGCCAACUACAGAAGUUAAAUGGAGAAAAUGGGAAUGAUGGUAUUUACGUGUAUUAUCUAAGUUUAUAAACACCCUGAGUACCUCUGUUUUUCAGUUAUGUGUUGUAGUAGCCUUUCAAAGUAAAGUUUGUUAAACCUUUCCAACUGAACUUGAAUUGAUGUUUUUUUUCCUGUUCUAGUGGAACAAAACCCAGUGCCUUGGAGUUCACACGUAUUAAAGUCCAUGCUAAGGCUCACAAAGAGCCUGAAUUGCACUGCAGGGAAUCUUAAGAGUGGAUCUAUUUACAUGUAGGCAGAGAAAAUCAGAAUGACUGAAGUAGCCUGAGCAGUGAUCAAGGGGAGUAUAGGAGAACAUAAACAAGUCAGCCUGGCUUGCAAGUAGAUGGGUAUUUACAUAGAUGAGUAUUUAAGGUGACAUGUAAAAGUGUGCAGGGGAACAGCAUGGGACUGUUAGGGAAAAGGCCUGGAGUGACAGGAGGAAUUUGGCUGCUGUGAAAGGGGAGAAGGUCUGGGUGCUGAGGCAGCCUGGGGCUGGCUGCUCCUGAAUGUUCUCCCCAGAAUGGGACAACAUCUGCAGGAGAGUGAAAUAAUGGUGUUUCAGUGGUCCUACCAUGACAAAAAUGAUUUAAUGUGGAGACAGAACAAAAGCAGACAUGAAAAAAAAUCAACAUCAGUUAUCCUAUAAGUUUUGCUGUUACUUAAAAGAUAGUGAACGGGAAGCAAAAAUAUUUUAUUUAAGAGUUCUUUUCCUCUAAUUUAUACUUUCCUGUUGCCAUAACAUUGUUCCUUUGAAUCUCCUUAGUGAAUGUUAGCGUGUAAAAGCACUUAAGGAUCUUUAAAACUGGAGGUGCAAGCAUUGCACAAGGCGUAGCCAGAAAGGAAAAGAUUUGCUGGAUGCCCUAAGUUAUAUUUUAAAGUGAUUUGCUAUUCUUAUUUUUGGAGGACCUCUCUGUGUUCUGUUGUUUUUCUCAUUUUGGCAGUGCUACGGGCCGCAAUCCUAAGAAUUUCUAAGUGGCUAGUCUAGCUCUUAGCUUUCAAGAUUUACUGGAAGUUUUAAAAAGAGGGAAUUCAUGAAAACACCCGGUAUGAGCUUUAAAAUAUCACAAAAGCUGUUGAGCUUAUUUUUCAGUAUCAGAGGAGAUGUUUAAAAUGUUAAUGUAUAUAUAUACUUGUAAAUGCUUCCUGCUGACUUGUUAGUUCAAAGAGUAUUUACAUUUGUGUAUAAUGUUAUUUGUAGCCAACAGGUCUGUGGAGAAAUCUUGAUUUCAAUAAAUAGACUAUCAUGGAAUUCUAAGAAUUUAUGCUUUAAUUAGGGGACUUCUCUAUUUAAUAUUUUCAGUUGAUGUAAAACGUAUAAUUUAGCAUAUUUUUUAUUCAAAGCUGAAAACAGAAAAUAUAUUGCCCUGGCGAAUAUAUUAAAAAUACAUUGUUAUAAAAGUGAAUAGUUUGACUACACGAUUGUAUUUGAAUAUUCUAGUGCUAAACCAUCAAGAGUUUUGGAGCUAUUGGUGAGGACACAAAUUUGCUCCUGGAGGCAAUGCCACCUUGAGCCCUGGCAGCCCUUUACUUCUCCCCAUUAGUUUCAGCUCUCCUCUCCCCUGUGUGCCACCCUUUCCAUUGUCAAAAAGCACGUAUCUAUGUAGCUUCACAAUGAACUGAAUCAAGCAAUGGGCUUUUUUCUAUUCCCUGUGGGGCUGGUUUUUGGCUGGAUCAGUUCCCCGCUGUGCUUCCCUCUCCAUCUCUGUGUCAGAUCUUGUGCAAGCACUAUAGAAGGGGUGGCACAAGGGGAGGAAUGAGUAGCUCGGAGGGGGCUUGUUCGCUUAAACGAGCUGCACCAGUACUCAGAGCAUGUCCCAAAUUUAACUCGGUCUCUGUCUCCCCCAAGCAUCCUCUGGGAAGCUGAACUCUUCACAUUCAUCUUCUAUUUCCUGAUAAGGAAAAAGGCAGCCCAACCUCUUACAAAUGAGACACAUCUCUGCUAUCUGCCCUCUUUUUGAGAACUGGAAACCUUCCUGCAUUCAGCUCAUCCCACAAAUAUGCUCUGGAGCUUUCUUAGUGUUUCUUGAAGCAGACUGGGUAGUGCUCCGUGCCACUGGGUUUGUGUGGUUGGCCUGGCCCAAGGCCAGGAAUGAGCUGGGCCCCUUGUCUGGCCAAACACCAAGGAAUGGCUCCCACCUUCCUCUGGCCUUCCUGCCCUCCAGCUGUGGGCCCAGAUGCAGCUGUGGAGCUCCUCUGUUGCCCUGUGCCCCUCACUGCUUUUCACAGUAAGAGGAGACAGUCGUCUCAUUUUUGGUCUAAUGCUGAAAGCUCAGGGUAAUUCCGUGUGUAAGUUUAGCUGAUGCUGGCAGUAUCUGUUACUAUCCCUGUGUACUUCUGACUUUUAAGUGCUUCUCAAUCUCAGAGAGUUAAAAAUCAAAUCUUCUGACUUCCCUAAUUCUCAGCUGGUUUGAUGCUUGUUGCAGACUUAAAGACCUACAAGAUGAAGCAUGACUAAUUUGACUUCAUAAAGUCUGCUUAAGGCUAGAAAUUAGGAACAUGUUUUCAAAAGCUGACAUUUCUGUAGUUCUCAGCUAUAAACCAGUUUUCUGUAUUUUCUUCCAGCUUCCAAAAAACUCCUAAAAUGUUGCUGUGCAGUGUAUUCUUGAGACGUGUGAGUAGGCUGAGAUUUUGUAGGGGAAAGAUGCCAAAAAUCAGGACACAUUUUAUAAAUUAAGUGUCUUUUGCUACUUUUACAGCCACUUCCACAAUUCUGGAAUUAAUUGUGAUUUGAUUUUUUUAAUGCAGAAAGACAAACCUUAAUUUGUAACAGGGCAGCAGAGCUCAUGACUCAGGAAUCACUUCAUCAUGACUAUAAAUAUUCAGCCCUGAAACAAACAGCCCAUGUUCCUUUUCAUGUACUUGAAUGACCAGUGCCAACUUCAUAGGAGAAAUGCUAUCAGAUCUUUAUUUGGGUUAUUUUUGCCCUCAAAUAUCUUACAGGGUGGGGAUUUUUAAAUUAAUUUAAGACAUAAGAAAACUAUGUUGUGCAUCAUGCUUUUAGAGAAACUGCUUUCAGUAAUUCACGCCGAUUCCCCAUGUAAGAGUGGUUGGAAAUGUGUUUUUAAAGUUUCAUAUUAAUGUAUUAAAAGGAAUAUAACAGAAUUGUGAAAUGAGAAAUCCUCAGAUAGUCCAAGGCCAGGCUUUGACUGUUUCUUUUGUGUAGCCAGCAUGGCACACCUCACCCCACCAACCCUGAGGUUCAGACGUGGUCAGGAUCUUUGAUUCUCUUGCGAGAAAAUGAAAAGGUUUAAUCCUUUCCUGUGCCUUCUGGCAUACUAAAAACCAGAGUAAAUCUUCCUGCAGCUACAACCACAAAAACAAUGCUGCAUCUAGAAUUUCCGGUGGGAGAAAAAAAAAAGAAAUAGUUCAAGAACUUCCCUCUCUGACAAAGUCCUGCUGCAUUUAUUGUUUUCACUCAAACUCAAGUGUGAUUUGCAUCAGUGAGAUUUUGGGGUGUACUUUCUUUUGUUUGCACAUAAGACGUGAUUUCAGAUAAAUAUAUCUUGUAGUUCUGUAGACAUCCCUGACAGGGAAUGAGAGCAUCCUUUACAGGCCUCUAAAUCCUGGAAGCUUUGUAGAUUACAGGAAAUCCACUGGAAAUCGGGACUGUUGUAAAUCCUUGGUUUCUCGACUUGUCUGUCAGGAAAAGUGCCACCAGUGUCAGCAAUUGCCAAGGUCUCUGCAGCAGCCGCGAUGCCAACACAAAAGAUACAAAAAUCAGUCUUUCCCCCUCUCUUCUCCCCCAUCUCCCCUGAUGACAAGGUUACUAUUUUAAAAACACAUCCUUUUGGCUCUUCUAUUUGCCUUCUGUUUUAGAAAUGGGAAGAUUUGCUUUCUUCCUGUUUUAAAGCAAUGACUAGGGCUAAGAAGUUGCCUUUUUUAAUAGUUCUCACAUGUUCAGUUGAACUACACACCUCAGUAAUACCUGUUCUCUCCUUUUUAGGUAACCAUCCCACUGCGGGUGGUCACCAGAGGGACUUCUGCUUCUGACUCCCCAGAAAAUGAAUGGGAGAAAUAACAUACUGUCCUUCUCUCCAUGGCAAAAGCCCCAAAGAGCAUGAAAGUUUGUGGAAAUGCAGAUAAGCUGGCUAAAAAUAGAGUUUGCUGAAUACCAUAAAUUGCUUUUGGUUUUGGCAGCAGAUACACCAGACUUCUGGUAUCAGUUACGCUCCUCUUACACAAGUUGUUGUUAGGGCUUUUAUUUAGGAUGCUAAAGGUGGUGCCCUGGUUUCUUCCCUGCCUGUGGGUUUCCUACUGGUACCUACCGGUACAGAGUCCCAGCUUCCAAACUACUGAGGUUCUGGUUUCUAGCUAUUGGUUAUUGAAUUACUUAUGCAAAUCAGAAACAUUUUAAGAGAUAAAAUCUAAAGUAUCCCUCCUUUGGGAAAAGGAUAAAUACAGUAAUAUUGUAGGAAGAGGAAAUACAGGGUCGGAUCUGGUGAAACUGAUGAAGAAAUUAUCCUACAGCUCAGGAGAGAGCUCAGAUGUCUGAACUACAUUGUUAUCAGGUGGAUUUAGUAGAAGUUGUGUACACUUACAUAUGCUGUAAAAUAUGACACUUAAUAGUCUGCAUGCCUGGAAGUCUGAGGGUUAGCCCCACCUAGUCUGCUUUCAGACAGAUUGUGUUUCACUUAGAUUUUACUGGCCAUUGCUGACACGGUCAGUUCUGCCAGAAAAGACAGAGGUCCUUAUGCAGAGUAACUUAAAAACUGGCAAAUAACUCAGUCAAGACACAAGAGAUUUUACAGUAAUUGUUACAGUUCUUUCAGUUUUAGUUUGCUGUGCAAAGAGUUAAAUAGUUCAAAGGCAGUUUCCUUUGGAGAAUGUUUAUUUGAUCAAGUUCAGUGUGGCUUAGACCCCAAAUAGCAAUACCAGCUUCAAACAGAGCACUACUAUGAGAGAAGGAAUAGCCUGUGGCCUUCCAGACCUCACAAGCUAUGUUGGUUUGUUACACAGAGUCAAAACAAAGAUGUGCCUUAGAACAGAUAUACAUUAACUCAAUGUAUUUCACACACCACAUCUUUUAUCUCCCAUCUGCUUCUCUCCCUGGUCCUUUGGGCUGUGACAAAAUCACUGAGAUCCUGGAUGAACUACAGACUCCUCAGUGAAAAGUAUAUAUGAUGUGAUUGGACCAUCCAAGCUACUUAAAUUGUUAGAGAACAUUAGAGGAGCUACUGCUCCUGUUUACUAAGUCUGAAGUAUCCUUUGGAUUUUGGAACAGUGCUUAUCUUUGCUUCUUGGUUCCCUUUACAUUGCAGGAAGCAGGGUGAGGAAGAACCCAGUGGGUGCUUCUCUUAGAUGGAGCCUGGAAGAUCAGUCUGAGGGGUCUUGUUGUUUUGUUUUUUCAGGUCCUUAGCUGGCUGAAUCUUCAGACUUCUAAUAAAUGCACUAGGCCUUAUACAAGCAUUAUUAAUGCAUGAUGAGAUACACCAAGUUCAGCCACUGAAUGUAAGAGUGGAACCCAUGCAGAUGCUGUUAGCACAGGAACCUGGUAUCGGGCCAAAUCUGGAGAGUUAUCUUUGAUCUGUCUCCAGAUCCUCCUUUUAUUUGAAAACAUCCAGCUAAUCACAGACUUCCUCUGACUUUGAUGAAGUGGAAGGAGCCGCAUCCUCUGUAACCUCUGGGAAGGGCUGGAAUUCUGCAGACGCUCAGAAUGCGGGGAUGGGGCUUCCGGCGCCAUCUCGUGGCAUCCAAGGGCUGGAAUGCUUCAGUUUGCCGGGAAGAGGGUGAAGCAGAUCCUCCCGGCAGCUGUGCAUCCCCAAACAGCUCCUGUGCUUCGGGAAGCUGGGCGAUUUUAAGGUCUGCGAGGAGGGCACAACGUUUUAUCGCUAAUCUCCCUUCCUGUGGGCUACAGGCUCUCGGCAAUGCCAGGAGCUCUGUGUGUGCUACACCCCACCCCACCACAGUUGGCACUGAUUAGCAGCGUUUCUGCUGUCUCAUCGGAAAAAUGUGAUUUAAUACUCACAGGCAGCCCACCUUCCCGCACUCAGAGGUGGUCCCACACAGCACAGCCGAUGUAUUUGAGGGUGGUGGUGGAAUGGAGCUCAGUCGAGUGUGUGAGUUGUGUAUGGUCUGCAAAUGACAGAGAUCUUGGACUGCAAAGUGCAGGCCAGCAUGGUAAUGAACAGCAAUGUUAAACACUGAUGUUGCCUAGGGAAAAACAGUGCUCACAGGCUUACUGUAGUUAGAACAGCUUUUUUUCUCCUUUGUUAAUUUCCAAAAAAAGAAAAAAAGGUACUUCCUGACCUCUGAGCUAGUCAUGUAAGAGUUACUGUGCAAUAACAGCACCAGUCCAGUGAAUUGCCCUCCAAGAUCUUAUGAAUGUGUUAGGCAGACACAUGGCCCUGCUGCCAGAACCAGCAGUACUUUGAAGGUAGCACUUUGCCCAAGACCUGCUUCCCCGGUUCAUAUUGCCCUCAUGGCACAAAACAAAAGCCUUUUUGCCCACCAUAAGUAUGUGACAUGGCACAGAGGGCAGGUAAAAUACCAGACAAGCCUGGGCCUGGCACAUGCAGUGAGUGAGGGCCUGGCCACGGUGCACACCGAGGUGUGGAGCAUUACUCGAGGCUUUCCUCUCAGAGGUGUGCCAGGAAAUUCAGCCCUGAGCUGGCCUUGAGGAUGCUCUGGCAGUAGUGAAAUAGGGACUUCUAAGCUUCUGAACAACUGAGAGAACCAGAUUUGGAGAAGACAUGAGGAAGAACUGGUCGGCAAAAGAUUUCAUAAAAACUCAGAACCUCGUGUGCCAGAUCUGACUUGGCACCACCUUUGCUUUUUUGACAUACUGCAGCAGUCGCAAAAGGCACCAAAGCAGUCAAAUUAGAACAUGCAGUAAAAGUUGUUUUGGACUCUUCUCUGUAUUAUAAAUCUUACUUCCUUGUGACUAUUACUUACACCUGUAAAAAACAAAUUUGAAGUCUUUCAUGGAGCAGACAGCCAAAAGAGGCAGAUGCCAGGUGUUAAGGGCUGCACUGAAAUGAAUUUACAGAAUUUCUAUUCACACGCUGGAGUGCUCCUUUUCUGAAACAAGGCUUCUUAGAGUUGCUGUCAAAAACUGUUUAGAUUUUUUUAGUUCAAACAUUACAAGUGUAUACUCAUGUACAAUGCUAAACUAUCAAGUAUUUAAAAAGAAAAAAAGAAAAAGGGGUGAAAAAAAAAAACUUAAAAACUGAGGACAGAGGGUCCCUGAGGAAGGACAGGAUGGUGAGAGAGAUCCAGCUGACUUGAUUUCCCCUGCUGCCAUGAUCAUCAUUUGCAAGCUGAAGAGGACCUUCCAUGGAGCACAGUGCUUGCAUGUGGAGAGUAAAGAAAUGGUGCUCUGGUCUUAUAAAAAGAAUCAUGAAAAUUUUUUACCAACAAGGAGAUGAGUAAAUGUGAAAUAAUCUUCACAGGGCACAGGGUGCACCUUUUUCUGGAGCUAAGCCUUGCAAAAGCUUGAAGAAGAGAAUCAGGCGUUCAUGUUCAGAUUUGAACAUUUUAGGAAUACUAAUGUUUCCAGCUAAAUUAAUGGGAGGGAAAAAACCCUAACCAAAAACCCAGUAAGGCAGUAAAUGUUCCAAAUUAGGGCAAGCAUGAAUUAUAAAAAUAUUAAUUUCUUUUGCUUCCCUCAGACAACAGUGGAUCUAUUUAAGACAUGUAAGCAGACUAAACAUGCUGAUUAUAUUCUGCUGUAGUUAUGCAUCUUACUAAUUCUACUCAUGAUUAUAAAAGGAUGUUUCAUUGUUCACUAUAACUGUUAUCUCAAGAAGAGUCUGUCUAUAAUUUUAUUUAUAAUUGGCAUCAUUUUCAUUACUGUUGUUACAAAGUGUGUACAAUAUUGUCUGUAUUGCAGCUUGUAUAGGGCAUGUGUCUGUGCUUGCUUUACUCUUUUUGAGUUUAUAAAGUUGCUAUACAAAUGCAAGAAAAGAUGUUCAGAUAUUUUUGAAUGUGGUUGCUUAAUCUAAUUACGUAGCCCCCAAUGUUUCAGCAUAUAGAUGUUGAAGGAAUCAGCUCUAUUAACACAUAACACCUUAAACAUUAAUGUAGGUAUUUUAAAAGCCUUCAGUGCAGCACUGAAAUGCUGACACUUCAGUCCCAGGAGCAAAGGGGAGGAUGGUGAAUAUCUGGGCAAAGCUGGAUACCACUGGGGACUCUGCAGGGAGAAGGCACAAUAUAGCUGGGAUAUCUAAUAGUAAAUGGGAUGUCCUUUCUAUAGAAAACAUGAAGGACCUUCAGAGUAGACUACCACAAAGUAGACCACCACAAAGAGGAGAGAAGGGAAUCCAUUUAUAGCAUUGCCUUCAACAGUAUACAAAGUGUAGGACAUCUAGAACAGGCUGUGACUGUUCUGUAACUUAGCAAUUACUUCUAGUCUAUGUAGAGUAUCAGUAAAGACAUUCCAGGUUAGUUAUCAUCAUCUUUAAAGCUUAUUCUGUGCUUUGCGACAGUAUCUUUAAUAAAAAACUCUUACAAAUCUG